UACGGAGGGUGCGAACGUUAAUCGGAAUCACUGGGCGUAAAGCGCGCGUAGGCGGUUCGUUAAGUGGGAUGUGAAAUCCCCGGGCUUAACCUGGGAAUUGCAUUUCAAACUGGCAAACUAGAGUGCGGUAGAGGGAGGUAGAAUUUCCUGUGUAGCGGUGAAAUGCGUAGAUAUCAGGAGGAACACCGGUGGCGAAGGCGGGUCUCUGGGCCGAUACUGACGCUGAGGAGCGAAAGCGUGGGGAGCGAACAGG
rnacentral:rRNA from 1 species